GCGCCGAUGGUAUAGUUGUUAGCAUAGCUGUCUUGCAAGCAGUUGACCCGGGUUCGAUUCCCGGCCGAGGCA
rfam:Ixodes scapularis strain Wikel colony gcontig_1108379373112, whole genome shotgun sequence.